rnacentral:tRNA from 2 species
UCCAACAUAGCUCAGUCGGUAGAGCAGCUGACUGUUAAUCAGCGGGCCGCAGGUUCAAGUCCUGCUGUUGGAG